UGCCACAUGUCAUUAGCAAGAUCAUGGAUUUGCAACAUAAUUUGUCUCAAGAAAGAUUCACACUGCUCUUGGAAACUGACUUCAACUGCAAGUAAACACAAGAAGACAACAACAGUGAUGUAGAAAUUAUAGAUGACAAAUCAACAGAAAGAGAUUCGCCAAGAAGUCUGUUGCAGAAGAACG